AAAAAAGUUGUCGCCAAUUGGUGUGAAAUGAAAAGGAGAGAUCUUGUCAAGACUAGUCUCUAAUCGGGUGGCGGCAUUGCAUUUGGUGUGAACUUGGCGCGGCGCAUCCUUUAAUGUGAAACGAGGCACACG
ensembl:ncRNA T14F9.8 ncRNA